AUCUUCAAAGCAGUUAGGAUUCUCAGCCUGGUGAUGUUUUUUAUUCUUAAUGCCGUUUCUACAGGUAAAAUGUCAGGUGCAAAACAUCAAAGUUUUGUUGAAGAUUAUUACAGGUCAACAUGAAAUUAUAUUAAGUUACGUAAUCUAAAAAUCGAAAGGGGGUUUAAAACUACUGUCCAAUAGCUCACUCUCUCUCCGCUCUGUUAAAUCUGCACCACAUCUAAAAGACACAUCCUUUGUGUUCAUGUGUUUUUUUCCUCUUUGAUGUGAAGCUGAGAGGAGGGAGGAGGAUGGAGAAGUAGGAGGAAGAGAGCAGCGAGACGGGGAAGGACAAGGGUGGAGGAUGUAGGUGUAAAAGCAGCUGCGGAGAGGAGGCAGAACUGACACACAAAGGUGGACGAAGCUUCAUUUCCAGGGAUAAGUUUUCCCACGAGUCCUCUGCCUCCUCCAUAUACAUCCAAAGAACGACCAAACCCUGCAGCGCCCGACCACAGAAGCAGGGAUUUCUCGGGCUGUUAUCUUGAAAACACACAGGAACCACUGGGGCUCACAAAGAGAUUAGAGACGGUUCCCCCACUCAGCGUCUCAACACCCACUCCGUUCCUCCUGAUCAUCUCGCUGAACUCCUCCCUCCAUCCACCCAUCCUACCAACUUCUCUCCCUUUCAAUCAACCCUCACCCAUCCUUCCUAUACCCCCUCAUCCCUCGACCCUCGACCCCUUCCCCCAUCCCUCGACCCCUACCCCAUCAUGCCUUCAUCCUUCCGCCCCCUCCAUCCCUCGACCCUUUCCCUCCCAGUAUUCCGCAUAUGUUCAUAACGUGUAA
rnacentral:lncRNA from 1 species